rnacentral:miRNA from 1 species
GUUUGUGGAAACACCACGUAAAUUUAUUACUGCAGUUAUAAAUUGCAGUUGUAAAUUUAUUACUGCAGUAAUAAAUUUACGUGGUGUUUCCACAAACAAAACCUA